GACGAGCUCUCCAAAACGUUUAUUCGGUAUCACUGGGCUUAAAGAGUUCGUAGGCGGCUCCGUAGGUGAGGUGUGAAAGCCCUCGGCUCAACCGAGGAAUUGCGCUUCAAACCGUGGGGGCUUUGAGGAAGACAGGGGGUAAGCGGAACAGAUGGUGGAGCGGUGAAAAUGCGUUGAUAUCAUCUGGAACACCGGUGGCGAAAAGCGGCUUACUGGGUCUUUUUCUGACGCUGAGGAACGAAAGCUAGGGUAGCGAACGGG
rnacentral:rRNA from 1 species